rnacentral:rRNA from 1 species
GUAGGUGGCAAGCGUUGUCCGGAUUUAUUGGGUUUAAAGGGUGCGUAGGCGGUCUAUUAAGUCAGUGGUGAAAUAUGGCAGCUCAACUGUCAAGGUGCCAUUGAUACUGAUGGACUUGAGUGAAGUCGAAGUAGGCGGAAUUGACGGUGUAGCGGUGAAAUGCUUAGAUAUCGUCAAGAACACCGAUAGUGAAGACAGCUUACUAGGCUUAUACUGACGCUGAGGCACGAAAGUGUGGGGAUCAAACAGGAUUAGAUACCCUGGUAGUCCACACUGUAAACGUUGAUUACUCGCUGUUGGCGAUACACAGCCAGCGGCCAAGCGCAAGCGAUAAGUAAUCCACCUGGGGAGUACGCCGGCAACGGUGAA